AUACCCCGCAGAGCUUAAAUCCACACACGUGUCGACACGAUGACCUGGGUGCCGGAGGCUUGAAGCCGCUGGUUGGUCAUUGGGAUACGUGGAGGCCAAACC
rnacentral:sRNA from 1 species